rnacentral:rRNA from 1 species
AACGAACGCUGGCGGCAUGCCUAACACAUGCAAGUCGAACGAGACCUUCGGGUCUAGUGGCGCACGGGUGCGUAACGCGUGGGAACCUGCCCUUAGGUUCGGAAUAACACCCCGAAAGGGGUGCUAAUACCGGAUAAUGUCUUCGGACCAAAGAUUUAUCGCCUUUGGAUGGGCCCGCGUUGGAUUAGCUAGUUGGUAGGGUAAAAGCCUACCAAGGCGACGAUCCAUAGCUGGUCUGAGAGGAUGAUCAGCCACACUGGGACUGGGACACGGCCCAGACUCCUGCGGGAGGCAGCAGUGGGGAAUAUUGGACAAUGGGCUAAAGCCUGAUCCAGCAAUGCCGCGUGAGUGAUGAAGGCCUUAGGGUUGUAAAGCUCUUUUACCCGGGAUGAUAAUGACAGUACCGGGAGAAUAAGCUCCGGCUAACUCCGUG